UACGGAGGGGGUUAGCGUUGUUCGGAAUGACUGGGCGUAAAGCGCGCGUAGGCGGAUCAGGAAGUUGGGGGUGAAAUCCCGGGGCUCAACCCCGGAAUGGCCUUCAAAACUCCUGGUCUUGAGUUCGAGAGAGGUGAGUGGAAUUCCGAGUGUAGAGGUGAAAUUCGUAGAUAUUCGGAGGAACACCAGUGGCGAAGGCGGCUCACUGGCUCGACACUGACGCUGAGGUGCGAAAGCGUGGGGAGCAAACAGG
rnacentral:rRNA from 2 species